rnacentral:lncRNA from 1 species
UAAUUUCUGACCUGAUUGGAACAGUCUAAAAACUAUAAAUAAAACCCUACUUCAUGCUUUCACCCAUACGUCUUCAAGCUCUCUUUCGCUAUAAUCUCUCUCUUUAUUUCUCUCUCCGAGCCAACCAUGGAUCUAUGGUUGAACCUUGUCCGCGGCAAUGCAUCGUUGCAGUUUAGGGCCUUCUUCAAAGCAGGAGGCCACCGCACAGCAGAGCCCAUGGUGAAAGUCAAGCUCCAAGUUUCGAGGUCCUGCAUCCCCCUGCAGCCGAGCUGCAUCGUCUAGGUCUACGUUCUUGGCUUCCUCCUCCCCC